UCAUGCCUACGGGGGGCAGCAGUGAGGAAUAUUGGUCAAUGGGCGGGAGCCUGAACCAGCCAAGUCGCGUGAGGGAAGACGGUCCUAUGGAUUGUAAACCUCUUUAGGCGGGGAGCAAUGCCGGGCACGUGUGCCCGGAGGGAGAGUACCCGCAGAAUAAGCACCGGCUAACUCCGUGCCAGCAGCCGCGGUAAUACGGAGGGUGCGAGCGUUAAUCGGAAUCACUGGGCGUAAAGCGCGCGUAGGCGGCUUUUCAAGUCAGGGGUGAAAUCCCACGGCCCAACCGUGGAACUGCCUUUGAAACU
rnacentral:rRNA from 1 species